UGCCCCAUGGCUGAGUUGGUUACAGCGUCCGACUGUUAAAAAGCAAUCGGAAGGUCGUGAGUUCGAGCCUCACUGGGGCAG
rnacentral:tRNA from 1 species